rnacentral:rRNA from 1 species
UAUGCUUAGCCUUAAACCCAGAUGUACUCUUACAUUUACAUCCGCCAGGGAACUACAAGCACAGCUUAAAACCCAAAGGACUUGGCGGUGUCUCAGACCCACCUAGAGGAGCCUGUUCUAGAACCGAUACCCCCCGUUAAACCUUACCACUUCUUGUUUUCCCCGCCUAUAUACCGCCGUCGUCAGCUUACCCUGUGAAGGCCCAAUAGUAAGCAAAAUGGGUCCAUCCAAAAACGUCAGGUCGAGGUGUAGCGUACGAAGUGGAAAGAAAUGGGCUACAUUUUCUAUAAUAAUAGAAUAUUACGGACGGCACCCUGAAACCAGUGCCCAAAGGUGGAUUUAGUAGUAAAAAAUAAAUAGAGAGUAUUUUUGAAUUAGGCUCUGAGACGC